rnacentral:tRNA from 1 species
UAUUCGAUUAUUUCUAUAGUUGAAAUACAACGAUGGUUUUUCAUAUCAUUAGUC